GACGAACGCUGGCGGCGUGCUUAACACAUGCAAGUCGUACGGUAGGGCCCUUUUUGGGGUACACUAGUGGCGCACGCGUGUGUAACACGUGUGUAACCUUCCCACAUCUUUGGGGUAACGCUACGAAACUGGUGCUAAUUCUCGCUAUGUUCUCCUGCUGCAUGGUGGGGGUUCUACAGCUCCAGCGGUUUUGGAUGGACUCGCGUCCUAUCAGCUUGUUGGUGGGGUAGUGGCCUACCAAGGCGGCGACCGGUAGCCGGACUGAGGGGGUGACCGGCCACAUUGGGACGGAGAUACGGCCCAGACUGCUACGAGAGGAAGCAGUGGGGAAUAUUGAACAAUGGGUGCAAGCCGGAUGCAGCAACGCAGCGGGCGGGAUGAAGGAAUUAGGGUUGUAAAACGCGUUCAGCAGGGACGAAGCUUGUUGUGACGGUACCGGCAGAAGAAGCACCGGCUAACUACGUG
rnacentral:rRNA from 1 species